CGGACGGGUGAGUAACACGUGGAUAACCUACCUAUAAGACUGGGAUAACUUCGGGAAACCGGAGCUAAUACCGGAUAAUAUAUUGAACCGCAUGGUUCAAUAGUGAAAGACGGUUUUGCUGUCACUUAUAGGUGGAUCCGCGCCGCAUUAGCUAGUUGGUAAGGUAACGGCUUACCAAGGCAACGAUGCGUAGCCGACCUGAGAGGGUGAUCGGCCACACUGGAACUGAGACACGGUCCAG
rnacentral:rRNA from 1 species